rnacentral:lncRNA from 1 species
AUUCCACUUCCCCAAUCCCAAUUGCUGCUCCCCUCAACCCCAGCUACUCAAAGACUAGGCCCAGCAGAGCAGCUGUGCUCCCUGAUGCUCAAACCAACCUAUCGCCUGCUCCACAGGAAUCAAGCAUUGGCUUGAGAGUAGCUGUGACCCCGUGCACAGCCAACACAGCACCCUGCCCCUCAGGGACCAUACCCUUCAGCCC